UCUCCCCAAGCCCCCACCCCUCCUCGCAUUGCCCUCAGUUCCCUAAUUCAGUACCCCCGUUUGCUUGUCCCCCAACGAGAAAGCCCUCAGUUCCCCACCCCCCCUCCCCGACGCAAAGCACAGCUUCGUCUUCAACCUCAAGCCCAACGGAAGCCCUCAGUCGUCCCCAAGCAUGCGAAGCUUCCAGUCUGCACCCCUGACCCCAAGCACAGCAAUCGUCUUCAACCUUAGCCCAACGGAAGUCCUCAGUCCCCAAGUAGCGAAGCUUCCAGUUGCAAAUUGAUGUUUAUAGCAAGAUGAAGGAACCAGAGAUGGGAUCCUUUCCAAUGAUUUGGGGAGCCAAAUGGCCAUUUUCUGAUCUCAUUAUUUCUAAGCACCUGCUCAUCUCCUUUUGAUUGCAACAUAACAGGCGGAACUAACUUCAUAGAGUUGUCUAGUUUAGCAAUUUUUGUUAAUACACUUUUCCAUGCAAUGUAAAAGGGAAAAAAAAAAAAAAAUAGAGAGAGAUUGCUAGGAUUCCUAGGUGGGUGUGAUGCAAGAUGGUCCCUUGUAGGAGGUUUGGCCGAUGGGAAUGCAAAAAUUAUAGCUAGUUUUUACUUGUUUUUAUCGCAAUUCUAACACACAUUGCAAAAUAUAGUAGCAUCUUGUUUUGGUUUGUCAAAA